GAUGAACGCUGGCGGCGUGCCUAAUACAUGCAAGUCGAACGCUUCACUUCGGUGAAGAGUGGCGAACGGGUGAGUAAUACAUAAGUAACCUGGCAUCUACAGGGGGAUAACUGAUGGAAACGUCAGCUAAGACCGCAUAGGUGUAGAGAUCGCAUGAACUCUAUAUGAAAAGUGCUACGGGACUGGUAGAUGAUGGACUUAUGGCGCAUUAGCUUGUUGGUAGGGUAACGGCCUACCAAGGCGACGAUGCGUAGCCGACCUGAGAGGGUGACCGGUCACACUGGGACUGAGACACGGCCCAGACUCCUACGGGAGGCAGCAGUAGGGAAUUUUCGGCAAUGGGGGAAACCCUGACCGAGCAACGCCGCGUGAAGGAAGAAGUAAUUCGUUAUGUAAACUUCUGUCAUAGAGGAAGAACGGUGGAUAUAGGGAAUGAUAUCCAAGUGACGGUACUCUAUAAGAAAGCCACGGCUAACUACGUG
rnacentral:rRNA from 1 species